UGAGAAGAGAGCCACUGCUGCUGAGUG
rnacentral:misc_RNA from 1 species